AGCCGCGACCACGUUGGAAACACCAGCGAAGUUAGGCAACGUUGGGCCCGGUUAGUACCUGCAUGGGUGACCGGCUGGGAAUACCGGGUGUUGCGGCCG
rnacentral:rRNA from 1 species